rnacentral:lncRNA from 1 species
CCCAGGACCAACUUGUUUACUGAUUGUUUUCACUUGGCACAACCAGUUAGCUAAACUUGCUUGACUAUAUGACCAGAGAGUCAUAAAAGACCCCACUGGGAAUUUACCUCCCGGUAGAUUAUCUCCUGAGGUCAAGAUUCAUUGUGCAGAUCUUGAAGGUUCAGUCUGGAGAGGAAGCCCUUGGAGAGCUAAGAAGGACCUUUUGGAGCUUGCGCAUGGGCUGUCUCUGGACCUCCAAUGCUUGCCUGCACUCUUCUCUUGCUGCACUGCAUGCAACCUCUGCCUGUGUAUUAAAGCCUUCUGUGACUCCGCCUUGUGGAUCCUGGAGCUGUUUCAGAGGCCAUUUCUGUGGAAAAACGGGACAAUAGGAAAGGAAAUUUUCUACUGAUUUUU